rnacentral:rRNA from 1 species
AUUGAACGCUGGCGGCAGGCCUAACACAUGCAAGUCGAACGAGUGGCGGACGGGUGAGCAAUGGCUGGGAAACUGCCUGAUGGAGGGGGAUAACUACCGGAAACGGUAGCUAAUACCGCAUACCAUCGGAUGUGUCAAGAUGGGCUUAGCUAGUAGGUGGGGUAAAGGCUCAACUAGGCGACGAUCCCUAGCUGUGUUGAGGGGAUGACCAGCCACACUGGAACUGAGACACGGUCCAGACUCCUACGGGAGGCAGCAGUGGGGAAUAUUGCACAAUGGGCGCAAGCCUGAUGCAGCCAUGCCGCGUGUAUGAAGAAGGCCUUCGGGUUGUAAAGUACUUUCAGCGGGGAGGCGUUACCCGCAGAAGAAGCACCGGCUAACUCCGUGCCAGCAGCCGCGGUAAUUC